AUGGAAGGGUCCCCCAAAGGGACAGCAGGUCAUCAGAAGAGGCCAGUCUCGGAGUACAUCAGCAAGCCGUUCCACGUCUCUAAGAUGUGGAAGAGAGACGUUGUGUUUUGCUUCCUCUGCGUUCUCUCCCUGCUUGGAACUCAGAGCUCCAGUGCCGAAUGUAUUGGAUGUACCUACAACCCCGAAGAUCCGUGCUACAUCAGCAACUGCCCACGAGGAGGGAAGAGAGCCAUUGCUGACGAUGAGGAUGCUUGGAUCGCCAAGCGUGAUGCAGGAGACUUGCUUGCGUAGGAACUAAUCCUGCUUCCUGCCUGCAGCUUCGGUGUAAUAAAAGAAGUCGUUUCCCCGUUAAUCCUUAAUGAAAGCUAAAAUCUGCGAUUUGUCUAAGAAGAGAGACAGUGUCCAGUCUUCCAUCAUCAGGAGAUAUCUGAAGACCACUCACACAUACACACACACCAUGGUUUAAACUCUGCUGAUGUCAACUAAACUUUCUCGAUUCCAAUUACGAGUUGUUUGUUUCCUUGAUUAGGGGCACCCUGCUAUUUGCCAAAGCCCACCCGCUAAAGGAGUUCUCCUCUACAGUGAUUACCUAAAGCUUGCACCAAGGGUGGGAAAUACAUUGUGCCCCUGUCCUCUGCCACCAAAUGAAGGUGCCCCUUUACCAAAAGCUGACAUUAAGGAUGCUAGAGAAUCUAAAAGAAAAUGAAUGAUGCUGUGUGCCUUGUUUUAGGCACGAUGGAUAGGUUCUUCCCCCCUUAUGAAAAACAGAAGUGAGCUUCUGUUGAGGGUGGUGAUGGAACAUAUAGAGGAGAGGAACUAUCUCACAGACCUUCCAAAACUGCCCAUCUCUGGCAUGUAACAAGGAUGGUGAACACAAUUCUUCAAGGGUUGGUCCUUACGUAGCUAAAACCAGCUCCAUCUAUGACCGAGAUAGGCAUGUCAGCAGGCAAGUGGAAACCCCAAGGUUUGGAGAUAUACAUUUGAAAAAGAGAGUGAAACGGUUCCAUGAGGAUGAAAUGUGCUCAAUAGCCACAGACCAUCCAUGGCUGGUAAAGGCAGAGGCAGCGUAGGAAAACCAGAGAGGAGGGGAAGUCUCCUGGGAGCAGACAUGGCUAAAACCAUUAAAAGAAGCCUUCCAAGGCUACAACAUUUGGUCGCAGAAUCCACUGGCUAAUUUCUAAACAUUGUCCUGUGUCUUCUGGCGGUUUGCUGUGUUGGCUCUUCUGUAUUACGGCUCCCACCACAAGUAACAUCAGAGUAUCAAUGCAAGAGAAAGGUGGGAUGUGAAUAUUUUAAAUGAAUGAAAUAAAUAAAUCAUGUGUUGUAGCA
rnacentral:lncRNA from 1 species